rnacentral:rRNA from 1 species
AGAAUCAACGCUGGCGGCGUGCCUAACACAUGCAAGUCGCACGAGAAAGGGUAGCAAUACCUGAGUAAAGUGGCGCACGGGUGAGUAACACGUGAAUUAUCUACCUCCGAGUGGGGAAUAACUGAGAGAAAUCUUAGCUAAUACCGCAUAACACUUACUAGUCAAAGCAGCAAUGCGCUUGGAGAGGAGUUCGCGGCCGAUUAGUUAGUUGGCGGGGUAAUGGCCCACCAAGACGAUGAUCGGUA